rnacentral:rRNA from 1 species
UACGGAGGAUGCGAGCGUUAUCCGGAUUUAUUGGGUUUAAAGGGUGCGUAGGCGGCCUCUUAAGUCAGCGGUGAAACCCACGGGCUCAACCCGUGGCCCGCCGCCGAUACUGGGAGGCUUGAAUGCGGAUGAGGCGGGAGGAAUGUACGGUGUAGCGGUGAAAUGCAUAGAUAUCGUACAGAAGGCCGACUGCGAAGGCAUCCCGCCAAUGCGCUAUUGACGCUGAGGCACGAAAGCGUGGGGAUCGAACAGG